CCUACGGGAAGCAGCAGUGGGGAAUAUUGCACAAUGGGCGAAAGCCUGAUGCAGCGACGCCGCGUGAGGGAUGACGGCCUUCGGGUUGUAAACCUCUUUCAGUAGGGAACAAGGCCAGCAUUUUUGUUGGUUGAGGGUACUUGCAGAAGAAGCGCCGGCUAACUACGUGCCAGCAGCCGCGGUAAUACGUAGGGCGCAAGCGUUAUCCGGAAUUAUUGGGCGUAAAGAGCUCGUAGGCGGUUUGUCGCGUCUGCCGUGAAAGUCCGGGGCUCAACUCCGGAUCUGCGGUGGGUACGGGCAGACUAGAGUGAUGUAGGGGAGACUGGAAUUCCUGGUGUAGCGGUGAAAUGCGCAGAUAUCAGGAGGAACACCGAUGGCGAAGGCAGGUCUCUGGGCAUUAACUGACGCUGAGGAGCGAAAGCAUGGGGAGCGAACAGGAUUAGAUACCCUGGUAGUCCAUGCCGUAAACGUUGGGCACUAGGUGUGGGGGACAUUCCACGUUUCCGCGCCGUAGCUAACGCAUUAAGUGCGCCGCAUGGAGACGC
rnacentral:rRNA from 1 species